rnacentral:rRNA from 1 species
AUUGAACGCUGGCGGCAGGCUUAACACAUGCAAGUCGAGCGGGGGAGGUUGCUUCGGUAACUGACCCAGCGGCGGACGGGUGAGUAAUGCUUAGGAAUCUGCCAUUUAGUGGGGGACAACAUUCCGAAAGGAAUGCUAAUACCGCAUACGUCCUACGGGAGAAAGCAGGGGAUCUUCGGACCUUGCGCUAAAUGAUGAGCCUAGGUCGGAUUAGCUAGUUGGAGGGGUAAAGGCCUACCAAGGCGACGAUCUGUAGCGGGUCUGAGAGGAGGAUCCGCCACACUGGGACUGAGACACGGCCCAGACUCCUACGGGAGGCAGCAGUGGGGAAUAUUGGACAAUGGGCGGAAGCCUGAUCCAGCCAUGCCGCGUGUGUGAAGAAGGCCUUAUGGUUGUAAAGCACUUUAAGCGAGGAGGAGGCUACCUAGAUUAAUACUCUAGGAUAGUGGACGUUACUCGCAGAAUAAGCACCGGCUAACUCUGUGCCAGCCGCCGCCGUAACAC